GACAGAGGGUGCAAACGUUGUCCGGAUUUACUGGGCGUAAAGGAUGCGUAGGCGGACAUUUAAGUCAGAUGUGAAAUACCCGAGCUUAACUUGGGUGCUGCAUUUGAAACUGGGUGUCUAGAGUGCAGGAGAGGUAAGUGGAAUUCCUAGUGUAGCGGUGAAAUGCGUAGAGAUUAGGAAGAACACCAGUGGCGAAGGCGACUUACUGGACUGUAACUGACGCUGAGGCAUGAAAGCGUGGGGAGCAAACAGG
rnacentral:rRNA from 1 species